UAGGGCCACAGUAUAUGGAGGCUCCCAGUAGCCUGGAUCAAAUCAGAGCUGCAGCUGCCCAUCUACAGCAUAGCCAUAGCCAUGCGGGAUCUGAGCAGUGUCUGUGACCUACACCACAGCUCACAGCAACGGUGGUUCCUUAACCAACCAAGCAAGGCCAGGGAUCAAACCCGCAACCUCAUGGUUCCUCGUCGGAUUCAUUUCCACUGCACCAAGAGAGGAACUCCAUACUUCGUAUUUAAUAAUGUGUUGGAACCAUGAAUGAGAAUAACACUUAUACAGCACCUGCCUACCUCAUACAGUCAGAUGAGCGGAGCUGCAAGCAUGCAAGUUAAAGGCGAAACAAGUGUGAUACCCGUUCCUCACUUUCCGGUUGAGGAAUCCUUGGAACCAUUACUUAACCACUGUGAGCUUGUUACUUUGCAUGAACAUUGGAGAUAUUGCCUAUUUAAAGCUGUCCGGGAAAAUUAAAGGAUGAAUGUAAGUCUUUGCUUCAUAGUAGCUGAUGAAGAGUAUUUUCGUCUUCUUUCCUCUCUUUAAGACUACAUAGUUUCCCAGUCUUUAAAAUUCUAUCAAAACAGGAAGAAUAUCUCUCAACGUAACUUACUCUUUGACAAAAUGAAUUUAUACUAUUUUCCAAAAAUCUAAAUUGUUUUGUUUAAAGUAAAACACUGUAUUUAACACUAUAAAAGAAAUAUUGGCUGCAACAUUUAUGUAAACUCCUUCUUUGUGUCUAUAUAUCCUACUGAAAAAUAAUCAUUUAUUUAUAUCCUAAAAUUUGACACAUUAGCUUUGGUACCAGUUUUUGACAAUCCCAAGGGAAAGUAUGAUAGAAAGAGGACUAGAUUAGGAGUCAGGAAAUCUUGCCUCUAACUCUGACUCUG
rnacentral:lncRNA from 1 species